CUUCAAUACUUACAUUUCUAUUAUCCUGUGAGAAUGUUUCAUGUAUAUGUAUAUUUAUUUAUUUUGCAGGAUCUAUCUGGUCAACAUUUGUAUCAAAAGAGUCAAGGUCAGUCACAGACAGAGUCUGGAGGCACAAACAGAGAUCAGCGAGCGCUAAAGAAGAGCGGCUGGAGGAGAUAUUGAGCUGGAUGAAGAAUAACAAAUCUGUGUUGAUUUGGCACACAAAGGUGUCAGUGGUUGCUGCUGUCCUGCUGUUUCCACGUCUGUUACAGGAGAGUCUGAGAUCUCUUUAUGUCAUCAGUGAGGAACCAGAAACACCCAACCCUGUGCUGUUUAUAAAGGGAUAUGCCUUGGAUGCGGAGUCUCUUUAAGAAAUAAUGAUGGAAGUGGAGGAGGAAGUCUGAACUAGACGAUGUGAACACAGCUCCAAUUAUUAUUAUUUG